AUUCGUGAUUUUUGCGAAGUGGUUCACCUGUUCCCAUCUCGAACACAGAAGUUAAGCACUUCAGCGCCGACGAUAGUGUAAGCUAAAAUAGGACGUUGCGGAUA
rfam:Clostridium sp. CAG:762 genomic scaffold, scf178